rnacentral:tRNA from 1 species
UGGGAUGUAGCUUAGUUGGUAGAGUGCUUGCCUAGCAUGUAUGAAGCCCUUGGUUUGAUCCCCAGCACCACAU